GAGGAAUAUUGGACAAUGGAGGCAACUCUGAUCCAGCCAUGCCGCGUGCAGGAAGACUGCCCUAUGGGUUGUAAACUGCUUUUAUACGGGAAGAAACACUGCUACG
rnacentral:rRNA from 1 species